GCUACACUUCCUGUGUGACAUAUUACUAGGUUGAUGUUUUUGUGCAAGAGAGAUGGUGUAAGCCAUUUCUAGUUAUGUCUGGAUCAACUGAUAUGCAGAGAGGCACAUGGUCAGUGAGGGGAGACUUCAGCCUGAGUGAGACAGACACCGAACUUACCUAAGGAAAAUAUUUCCCACAGUAGCACUCCAAAAGACCAGACAUCACUCUGAGUUGUGUAGAUUUUAUCAAAUAUGGAUUCUGGUGCCAUCCAUUUGAGUGGGAGUCGGGCCUGCAAUGAUGCACAAGACUUUAUCAGCCACUGGACAGAGAUACAGGAGCACUAGUAAUUCAGCUUCUGUGAUCGAAAGCUGUAAACUUACAUCUCCUUUCCGUACAUAAUCUGGGUCUUUGUAAAUGUCACGAGCCAGCCCGAAGUCACAGAUCUUCACAACAUUGCUCUCAGACAGAAGAAUGUUACGGGCUGCCAAGUCUCGGUGGAUGCACUGGAAUUAAAAUGGAAUAUUCAAGAGCUUAGAAACAAAGCCCAUUAUGUUCUUUUGAUUGCGUUUUUAAAAAAUAAACACUGAUAUUCA